UACGGAGGGUGCAAGCGUUGCUCGGAAUCACUGGGCGUAAAGCGUCCGCAGGCGGCUUGGUAAGUCGGGUGUGAAAGCCCGGGGCUCAACCCCGGAAUUGCAUUCGAAACUGCCUCGCUUGAGUACGGGAGAGGGAAGCGGAAUUCUGGGUGUAGAGGUGAAAUUCGUAGAUAUCCAGAGGAACACCUGCGGCGAAAGCGGCUUCCUGGUCCGAUACUGACGCUCAUGGACGAAAGCGUGGGGAGCAAACAGG
rnacentral:rRNA from 1 species